GCACUGCUGAGGAGUCCCAUACUAGAGCGGAACGGCCGUCCAGUGC
rfam:Schistosoma haematobium scaffold81_22, whole genome shotgun sequence.